ACCCUAGUAUGAUUUAUAGUUUUUGUAGUCUCAAUCCAUUUGAGUUUGUAUCCUGUUAUAUAAGCGAUGUUAGAAUGUAUUUAGUUUUGCUUUCAUUUUCUGAUAACUCUCCACCCAUUUUUGUAAACGCAUGUCAUAUGAGCCACAUUCUGUUCUGAGACACGUCGGGGUAAGUUUGGCACUAUUUCUUCUGGUGAACUUUAUUGGUUUUAAUCUCUGCUCUCACCGUCUAAUCUUACAAUAUCUAAAGAAAAUGUUUGUUUGUAUGAAUGCUUUCAUUCUUAAAACGUUUAAGUCAAAAAGAAAAAGAAACCAGGAAAUGGAAAAAGAAAAAAAUUGCCUCCACACAAAAAGCAAGUGCUCAGUUAAUGUUCCCACUAUUGUGACUGUGAAAUGUAAAUCUAUAUGUAUUUCAUAAUUUCGCAUCAUGAGGAUGGUUGAUUUACAAAGAAGCUUCUUUCAUUGUGUCAAAAUUUUAUUUUCUGGAACAAAUAUGUUUUAGAGGCAAGAAAGAAAGCUGAACUCCCAUUGACUGGAACCCGGAAGAAAGCUGGGUGAACCGUCCAGUAAUGAGAUUAACCAGUCCUGUCAUCGCCAUGCCACAUAUCAUGCCACAUAUACAAACAACUCUUGUUUUUCCUCCAACAGAGCGUGAAGUGUGCACUUCCCAAGUCAGUCUGAGUCCAUCUGUGAAUCAAGCAAGAUGGGAGCGGUAUACAACCUGCUGGAGCGCCACAGGCUUGAGACGUUCUACAACAGUUUUGUUCAGAUGGGGGUGAAAGAUGAGCGUGACUUCCUAGACAUUACAGAUGAAAAUCUGACUACAAUCGGCUUAAGUCAAGUGGAAAAGAACCGUUUUUUGGAAAUGAAGAAGGAGAUAGAACGACUGAGAGCUCCCCGACGUCCAGUUCAGAAUGUCUCUCCAGUGGUGAAAUCCUUGGGUUCAUUCAGCCUGCGCUAUACCUUCCCCAAGUGUCCUGAACCAAAGCCUAUCACAGAUAUGGAUCCCACACAAAACACACUUGAAGAUUUGAUGUUAAGAAUCUGUCUGCUGGAGGGGGUUGAAAAUACCACGGGGGUCUGUCUCUUCACCAGUGAUGGGAUGCCUCUGUCUGACGACCCGUUCUUUAACACUUGGUCUCUGAAAGACAGACAUAUUGAGAGCGGCUCUUUGAUCUACGCAAUAUUCACACCAAAGUGUAAUCUGACUCAUGGCGUGCGGAUACCAAAACGAAAAACUGCAAGUGGUGAGGAUGUGAUAAAAUGCCACGUCAUGCUCAGGGGCCUCUUUGAGCUGUCAGUCGACUUUAAAAGGGACACACUCAAAACUCUGAGAACUCAACUGUCGAUUGAAAGUGGAAUCCCAGAACAUGUUCUUCACGACAAAGAAGGCCAUGGCCUCGGCGAAACACUGGAAAGUUGUGGCUUUUCUGAAGAAUCUACAGUCCGUUUUUAUCUGUCUACCUUUCCUCUUGGAGGGUUCCAUCAGAUGUUCAUCAAUGAUGUUGACCCACUGGUUAAACAGAGCCUACACGGAAAAAGCGUGUUCCUCUCCUCACUCUAUGUGAUUAGCAAACGUGGGACCAAAGUGAAAAAACUGAUUGCUCACAUCCGGAAACUGACUGGAUGCCACCCACUGGCUCAAAGCUUGCAUCAAUUUCUCCGCAAAAAUGAAAAGAUAACAAAAAACCAGAAGAUUGCCAUUAUCGAGGGCCUGUACACUCUCUUCAGGGAGCUUUUGCCCAAACAGGGAGCUAUUGGUGUCAGAGUCAUUGAAGACAUUGAUGUCUUUGAAAACUCUUUGUACUGCUGGGCCUGGCUCUUCGCCGAGGCUGAUAACCAACCAACAGACCAUGAGGACUUCGCGCCCAUUGCUCUCACGACUGAAGAUGGCAUUCGUUUCUGUGAACCAGUGAGAGUUCCCGAAGUUCCUGGUGUAUUUGAACGUGCUGAAAUUGUCUAUAAUAUUAGAGAUGGAAAGCAAAUUCCAAACUCCACUGCAACACUCCAAGAAACAUCACUGCAGAGAGCCACUGAUGUGGAGAAGGUCCUCCUCAGUCUGCCUCCAUGCUUCAGAGCAUAUGACCUGUGGAUCCACCCUGAUGCGACAGCUGCACACAACUUUGCAGUGACUCCACCGGGGAGUGUUGGAGCUAUGGCAGCAAAACUUGAAUUUUUCGAUUAUCUCAAGAUCACUCCACCUUUGUGCUUGAAGAGUCUUGGAACUACUGCCCCUCGUCUGGUCCAGAUCACUGCAGACAACUUCGGCGUGUACACUCAGAAAGACAAGGGUAAACCCGACAUGGUAUCAGUGUACGACUGUCUAGAGGGAAAAACCCACACCUUGGAUGUAAACAUGCUGGCUGCCAGUACUGGCAACAGUGGAAAGGAUCACACGUUCACCAUCACCAGGACACCGAAGGAAGCAAUUCUGGUUUUGAUUGACACCAGCAGCUCGAUGGAUCGGAAAUGCUAUGGAAGCACUGACAUCCGAAAAAUAGAUGUGGUGAAGGAGCUCUUUGACAACUUUGCUUCAAGAUCUAUGGCUUAUGACUUUAGUCACCUCAUUGGACUUGUCAAGUUUGAUACAGAGGUGAAGGUCAUUCACACCUUCACUGAAACACUGGAGACGUUCAAGGAGUUCAUCCGAACCAUCGAGGCGAGUGGGACCACUCAUCUGUAUGAUGCCUUACUAGUGGGUCUGGAGGAGCUGCUCAAAGUUGAGGCGAGAUUUCCUGAGUGCAGGCUUCGCAUCCUGUGUCUGACGGAUGGAAAUGAUGAAGGCUCAGUGUCUAAACCUGAAGAUGUUGCCUCCAGACUUGUGACGUCUGGAAUUAUUGUGGAUUCAGUUCUUCUUGGAGACGUUCAUAACAACAUGCUACAUGGAAUCAGCAACGCCACAGGUGGAUGUUGUUUCAAACCAGGAACAAGCCAAGAAGGUCUGAAGCUCUUUGAGAUGGAAACGGUGCUCUCUCUGGAGCAGAGGAAACUGAAGCCAAAGCUCGACUGCGCCUCCAUCACACAGGCAAAGCUGCUGGGGAUGUUUCCGACUCUUGGUUAUGACAAAGUUCCUGAGGUGACCUUACCUGGUGAAUUAAAGAGCAAAGUGACCUCGACACAGACUGCCUUGAAGAAGGUUUUCAUGGAGAAAAACAAACGCAUUCGUGAAGAACUGAAGAACCUGCAUUGUGAGCCUCAUCCCUUCUUCAGAAUCUUUCCGACUGAGACAGACUUUGCUUUUUGGAAGAUCCUCAUGCAGGGUCCUCCUGACACACCCUAUGAGCGAGGAGUCUUUGAGCUCUACUGCCAGUUUGGCGAGGAAUACCCAGUGAAGCCUCCUCUUGUGCGCUUCCUCACUCCUAUUUACCACUGCAACAUCAACAGUGUGGGAAGAAUCUGCCACAACAUAUUUGACCGCAACUACAACGCCCACAUCACCAUGAGAGAGAUCCUCAACGCUGUCUACGGUCUCCUCAUUGCCCCAGAGCCUGAGGAUCCUCUGGACAGCAUUUUGGCGGAGGAAUACCUGACCAACCAUGCAAAGUAUUUACAAGAAGCAAAGAAACACACGGGGGAAACUGCAAAUCUCUCCAUGGAUGAGAUUGAAAAGAACUGGGCAGUUCCUGCUCCUGAGUUACUCCCCCCUCAGAUGAUCUGUUCGCUCACAAAGACCAUGUUCAUCGAUCCAGUGAAGACCAUAUAUGGCACCGUGUACGAACGCAAAGCCAUCGAGCUGCACCUCAAACAACAUGACUACGACCCCUUGGGCGGUCCAAACUCCGCCCUCCAGACCAGUGACUUAACCCCUGACUGGGACAUGAAGAGAAUGGUGACCAAUUUCCGCUCACGCCAGAUUAAGUAAAUCAGUCUGGAGAAGCCAACGUUCCACACAUGUUCAGAAAGUGCUGAGGAGAGGAAGACUUUGAUCUAAACCACUGUUCAUAAUCAGUUAAAAUGGUGUCUAUGAAUGAGCUUGUGAAUGCACUGUGGGUGACUGCGAUGCACAUGCUAUCAGUGGAGGUCUGCAGCUAUGUUUGAAGCUUUGAACGGUGUCGCUAGCUCAAAAGACAGCCAAGAUAUGCCUUGGUGUCUGUGUGUGCUGUUUGAGCAGCCCGUGACCUUUCCCCUACUCUGCAGCUCCGUUGCCACGGCUAUGCUCCCCUUUCAUUUCCCUUUCACGCACAGCAAAACUGCUGAUUCGUUGUGCUUCAAAGCAAGUUUCCUACUCCCUGAACAAAAAGCCGUACCUUGUAAAACCAUAGCAGCUAGUGAAACAACCGAGCACACUGUGAGAAUUCUGGGGCUUUCGUCUCUAACUGAGCCAUGUGUUUACAGUCUACGCUUUGGCCAGAAUGGCGAGUUGAAAAUGAGUAGCUUUGCAGCAAUUUUUGCGCAGCAGCUUCUCCACUCCAAUGCAUUUUCAAUAAGCCAAAUCCGAGCUUACAGCGCUUCUGCGACUCUAACGCAAAUUUUGAAAUUGCAACAGUAAUUCUGAGCACAAGUUUGACUACAAAACAGGUGAUUUUCAAUGUUUCUGCACGCCACCGUUUGGCCACAAUCGCAGUUUAGAAACGCAAACUUUUUCCUCCCCUGCUCCACUCUAACCAGCUUAAGUGGUCACUCUAACUUUUUGAUUUUUGCCAAAUCUCUGGUUCUUUGAGGCCUGAGCUAAUUAUUCAGCUGCCAGGUUUUAGUAAACACUGCUAUAUUUCACCUUUGCUUUACUGGUAGAAGCGCUAACCCAAGAUAGAAGUGCUAACCCAACACAACAGCAGGAUGAAGGAUGAACUUUGACCUUGAAAUGGUAACUGGGUUUUGUUUAGUUUUUGUUGCAGUGAUUCGUUUAGAAAUCCCUCUUCAGGGCUAGGUUGGUGUUCAGGAACAUGUGGAUUUUAUCAUCACAUAUUGACAAUGACAGUCACAAUAAAGAGUGAUUUGGUGUUUUUUCAUCUUUCAUUUUUCCUGCCUGUUAAACCUCGGCUCACAUUUCAAGUGUCUUUCUUCUUUCAUCCAUCUUUUUCUUUCACUGUUUGUGUGGUCAUUUAUCGUCCAAGCACGGAUCCGUCCUGGAUCUGUCACAUGACUCCUCUGUGUGAAAAAGCUCAUCUAUUUCAGGACAGGACGAGUCUCAUGAAAUAUGCAGGAGAGCUGGCUGAAUCAAGUUCAGCUUGACUGUUGAGUGAAACAGCCAAUCAGAGCACAGCAGGGAGCAGAGGCCAGAAAAGGCUGCGGAUCAGAGCCAACUGCACUCUGCAGAGGGGAGAGGUGCCGAACACAGCACAGCGUCCAGUCCGCCUGUGUGUGUUGCGCCUGUCAGAACACAUUUACAGGUAUGCAGCUCUGGGUCGGUGUUGCCAGUGUGUGAAGGUGACUAGUCUGGACCGGAGACAUGGCCUCGCUUGCUUUGCCUCCCACUGGCUCUGCUCCUGCUCCUCCCACAGUCUGUCUUCUCCACUGCCACCCAGAUCCACCAAAACUGUUGAGUAUUCACACUCCACUGACCUGACACACUGCAGUCGGUCCACUUACCAGACUCCUCCCCUCCAUCGCGGCUUGUCAGUCCAGACCUAACUGAAGCUGUGCUUCUCAUACACUGCACUGUGACUUUUUCAGAGGUGAAACUGGACUCUUAGUUUGAGAAGUGGAUGAGCAGCAAUGCUCUUUUGAUGCAAAAGUUAAUGCAAAUAAGUCCUGCCAUUCUCUGCUUCAAAUGGAUCCUCAUUUUAUAUUUGUCCAUAAGGAUGGUUCAAGGUGAUUAUUUCAUGAUCGCUCGAUGGCUGACUAAUAACAUUUCAGUCUGCAUGUGGCAGAAUUGACAAUAAAUCUAUCUGACCUGACCUCACCACGACUAAAACCAUCUAUCUUCUCUUCCGUCCCAACAAGGAUGGAACCUUAUUCUGUUUGCUGUGUUGCUGCAGUCAUUACUCUACUGUGUGCACAAGAUAACUUCUAACUAACAUGAUGCUCCACCCAAUCCACCAGAGAGUCUCACCCAGUCCAGUAUGAGAGGCUGGGGUGUCACUCGGCACUGGAUCCCAGGCAAGUCACACGGCGGCCCCGUCACAGGUGCCUGGAAUAAUCCUCACUUUCACUGAGCAUUUUGGGGGGAAAUAAAGAUGCAAAGGUGGUGUUUGUUCCCAUGGUCGGUGCGUGGCCUGUCAGAGUUCAUCGUGGAGGCCGGGGCACCUGGAUGUGGGAGGAGUUGAAGAGAUCAUCCGGAGCUGGACCGUCACCCCUUCUGUGACUACCGUUUCAGAGUCAUCGCUGUGGGCCAGGCUGCUCGGACUGCGGUGUAGAGGACGCCACCUGCUGGUCGGAGAUGCCGCUGGAGCGCCAGCACAACGGCCUGGACUUGGAGUACCAGGUGUCAUGGAGGGAACCAGUGGAGUGUCAGCCACGUCACUUCUCCACCCUUCCGUGGGUACAACACCAG